GAUGAACGCUGGCGGCGUGCCUAAUACAUGCAAGUCGAGCGAACGGACGAGAAGCUUGCUUUUCUGAUGUUAGCGGCGGACGGGUGAGUAACACGUGGAUAACCUACCUAUAAGACUGGGAUAACUUCGGGAAACCGGAGCUAAUACCGGAUAAUAUUUUGAACCGCAUGGUUCAAAAGUGAAAGACGGUCUUGCUGUCACUUAUAGAUGGAUCCGCGCUGCAUUAGCUAGUUGGUAAGGUAACGGCUUACCAAGGCAACGAUGCAUAGCCGACCUGAGAGGGUGAUCGGCCACACUGGAGCUGAGACACGGUCCAGACUCCUACGGGAGGCAGCAGUAGGGAAUCUUCCGCAAUGGGCGAAAGCCUGACGGAGCAACGCCGCGUGAGUGAUGAAGGUCUUCGGAUCGUAAAACUCUGUUAUUAGGGAGGAACAUAUGUGUAAGUAACUGUGCACAUCUUGACGGUACCUAAUCAGAAAGCCACGGCUAACUACGUG
rnacentral:rRNA from 1 species